rnacentral:rRNA from 1 species
GAUGAACGCUGGCGGCGUGCCUAAUACAUGCAAGUCGAGCGAACAGACGAGGAGCUUGCUCCUCUGACGUUAGCGGCGGACGGGUGAGUAACACGUGGAUAACCUACCUAUAAGACUGGGAUAACUUCGGGAAACCGGAGCUAAUACCGGAUAACAUGUUGAACCGCAUGGUUCAACAGUGAAAGACGGUCUUGCUGUCACUUAUAGAUGGAUCCGCGCCGCAUUAGCUAGUUGGUAAGGUAACGGCUUACCAAGGCAACGAUGCGUAGCCGACCUGAGAGGGUGAUCGGCUACACUGGAACUGAGACACGGUCCAGACUCCUACGGGAGGCAGCAGUAGGGAAUCUUCCGCAAUGGGCGAAAGCCUGACGGAGCAACGCCGCGUGAGUGAAGAAGGUCUUCGGAUCGUAAAACUCUGUUAUUAGGGAAGAACAAAUGUGUAAGUAACUAUGCACGUCUUGACGGUACCUAAUCAGAAAGCCACGGCUAACUACGUG